UGGGGAAUAUUGGACAAUGGGCGCAAGCCUGAUCCAGCAAUGCCGCGUGUGUGAAGAAGGCCUUCGGGUUGUAAAGCACUUUUAUCAGGAGCGAAACGCUGUCGGCUAAUACCCGGCGGAACUGACGGUACCUGAGGAAUAAGCACCGGCUAACUUCGUGCCAGCAGCCGCGGUAAUACGAGGGGUGCAAGCGUUAAUCGGAAUUACUGGGCGUAAAGCGUGCGUAGGCGGUUUCUUAAGUCUGCUGUGAAAUCCCCGGGCUCAACCUGGGAAUGGCAGUGGAUACUGGGAGGCUAGAGUGUGUCAGAGGGUGGUGGAAUUCCCGGUGUAGCGGUGAAAUGCGUAGAGAUCGGGAGGAACAUCAGUGGCGAAGGCGGCCACCUGGGACAACACUGACGCUGAGGCACGAAAGCGUGGGGAGCAAACAGGAUUAGAUACCCUGGUAGUCCACGCCCUAAACGAUGCGAACUGGAUGUUGGUCUCAACUCGGAGAUCAGUGUCGAAGCUAACGCGUUAAGUUCGCCGCCUGGGGAGUACGGUCGCAAGACUGAAACUCAAAUGAAUUGACGGGGUCAUAGCUGUUUCCUG
rnacentral:rRNA from 1 species